AUCCAACUGACGAGUCCCAAAUAGGACGAAACGUGCGUCCUGAAU
rnacentral:hammerhead_ribozyme from 1 species